rnacentral:tRNA from 2 species
CUAAAAUUCUAAAUUAAACUACUC